UGAACGCUAGCUACAGGCUUAACACAUGCAAGUCGAGGGGCAGCAUGAUUUGUAGCAAUACAGAUUGAUGGCGACCGGCGCACGGGUGAGUAACGCGUAUGCAACUUACCUAUCAGAGGGGGAUAGCCCGGCGAAAGUCGGAUUAAUACCCCAUAAAACAGGGGUCCCGCAUGGGAAUAUUUGUUAAAGAUUCAUCGCUGAUAGAUAGGCAUGCGUUCCAUUAGGCAGUUGGCGGGGUAACGGCCCACCAAACCGACGAUGGAUAGGGGUUCUGAGAGGAAGGUCCCCCACAUCGGUACUGAGACACGGACCAAACUCCUACGGGAGGCAGCAGUGAGGAAUAUUGGUCAAUGGCCGAGAGGCUGAACCAGCCAAGUCGCGUGAAGGAAGAAGGAUCUAUGGUUUGUAAACUUCUUUUAUAGGGGAAUAAAGUGGAGGACGUGUCCUUUUUUGUAUGUACCCUAUGAAUAAGCAUCGGCUAACUCCGUGCCAGCAGCCGCGGUAAUACGGAGGAUGCGAGCGUUAUCCGGAUUUAUUGGGUUUAAAGGGUGCGUAGGUGGUGAUUUAAGUCAGCGGUGAAAGUUUGUGGCUCAACCAUAAAAUUGCCGUUGAAACUGGGUUACUUGAGUGUGUUUGAGGUUGGCGGAAUGCGUGGUGUAGCGGUGACAUGCAUAGAUAUCACGCAGAACUCCGAUUGCGAAGGCAGCUUACUAAACCAUAACUGACACUGAAGCACGAAAGCGUGCGGAUCAAACAGGAUUAGAUACCCUUGGUAUCCACGCAGUAAACGAUGAUUAC
rnacentral:rRNA from 1 species